CAGGAAGGGGAACGUUAAAAGCUUGUCAAACGGCCGUCAAAAAUACAUUUUGACGCGCGGUCGGCCCCGCGUCGUGUGUCUGGCGUGUCCUCUAAAACGAAACGCGUCCUCCAGCGGAGGUUUGUUUUCGAGCGUCGAAUUCUUCGGCCACCGGCUCGUUUCCAGUUGCCCAACCUCCUCUCCGCAACGCACGAGGAUCCUCCCUCUACCUCCGACGUUUCUGCCUCUCGUUUUGUGAGAGUGCCAGUUCGAUGCACGAGAGUAUGAAAGACGAUAAGAUGGAACAGAGAGGGAAAUAACGCCGCGUUUCGUAAGAAUUUUAUCGUUCCGUAUUCGGAGCCUAAUGCCCUUGCAACUCCUCCUUCGCAACCUUCUACGGUUCCAUCGCCACUCCACCAUCUUCGAAGUGGUCCUCGCGGGCCUUCUCGGCCUGGCAUCCGCCGACCAAAAAGUCCACUUCCUCGGACCGGAUCUGGUCUCCUACGGAUUCGUCGGUUCGUGGCCAAACCAGCCGAGCAACGUAUAUACCCACUGACCUAUAUGCUGCCACGGGAAAACGAGUCAGGGAUACACGAGCCAUUCAGAAGUCACGUCGAACAGCUCGAAAGAUUGAAAGAGUACGAUCGAAGAACCUCGGUGGAAGAUUGUUUCGCCUAUCGUCUGUUACAGAAACCAUUGUAUGGAUAUUUUAUACGUCUGUUCGAUCCGUCUGUUAUCUUCUGAUUUCCUAUAAACGCGUAGAAACUUUGAAUUCGCUGCAAUCUGUCUCGUCUCCUUGCUACGGACGAACUUACGGACGAAGGUGAGCGAUUUAAUUUUUAAGAAUCCAACUAUUCACUGUGUUUCUUUUAACGAGAAGAUAAAAGCCAGAAAUGGAGGAAACAAAGGACGACGAUUUCAAACGAACGACAAACGAGUGUGUGGGUCUAAUUUCCUCUUGUCAUUUUCCCUCGCGUAUUUAUUCACACCGAUUAAACGGGAAGAUGAUAGAGAGGAUGUGGAGGAAUCCAGCGAAUCGAGGCCACGAAGCGGAAGGAGGAAGAACGCUUAGAUUUUGAAAUUGAGCUCUACGAAAAUAGUCGGCCGAGUGGAAUCGCGAAACAAAGCGAUACAUUCUGCGCGUUACGCCUGAAUUUCCAUUAAUUAACUACUUCUACCUACGUAUGUAUCUUUUUCCAUUUUUACACUCCAAUCAGAGUUAAAUAAAUGUAAAAACAAUCUUCGCCGAA